rnacentral:rRNA from 1 species
CAGUCGCCGCGGGAACACGAAGGGGGCUAGCGUUGUUCGGAUUUACUGGGCGUAAAGGGCGCGUAGGCGGGCUGAUAAGUCAGGGGUGAAAUCCCAAGGCUCAACCUUGGAACUGCCUUUGAUACUGUUUGUCUUGAGUUCGAGAGAGGUAAGUGGAACUGCGAGUGUAGAGGUGAAAUUCGUAGAUAUUCGCAAGAACACCAGUGGCGAAGGCGGCUUACUGGCUCGAAACUGACGCUGAGGCGCGAAAGCGUGGGGAGCAAACAGGAUUAGAUACCCCAGUAGUCCCUGUCUCUUAUAC